AGAAGUGAGCAGACCGCUUGGGAGGACUCACUGGUGGCAAGGUCACAGCCGAUGGCUUCUGCUGACCAGAGAGCUCAAGGGUCUGCAAAACGAGAUGCAACUCCUGGGGAACCUUUAGGAUUUAGUCCAGUCUGGGAUUUUCACAGACGCAUCGCCUGGGGGAAAUUCAUGAACAGUGGCCAGACCUGCGUGGCCCCUGACUACAUCCUCUGUGACCCCUCGAUCCAGAACCAAAUUGUGGAGAAGCUCAAGAAGUCACUGAAAGAGUUCUACGGGGAAGAUGCCAAGAAAUCCCGGGACUAUGGAAGAAUCAUUAGUGCCCGGCACUUCCAGAGGGUGAUGGGCCUGAUUGAGGGCCAGAAGGUGGCUUAUGGGGGCACCGGGGAUGCGGCCACUCGCUACAUAGGUGCGUGACCCCUGAAGAGCACAGCCCACCUGCCCAGGCUGCAGGGGUCCCCAGCCAGUUCACAGCAAGUGGGCACAGAUACUUGAUAAGCAGACGUGACCUCGGGAUGGGUAUAAAUUGCUUUCACCAGGGAGCCUGGGGUAGACUCUAGCAGGCAGGGG
rnacentral:sRNA from 1 species